rnacentral:rRNA from 1 species
GACAGCAGUCGCCACGGUAAAACGUAGGUGGCAAGCGUUGUCCGGAAUUAUUGGGCGUAAAGGGCUCGCAGGCGGUUUCUUAAGUUUGAUGUGAAAGCCCCCGGCUCAACCGGGGAGGGUCAUUGGAAACUGGGAAACUUGAGUGCAGAAGAGGAGAGUGGAAUUCCACGUGUAGCGGUGAAAUGCGUAGAGAUGUGGAGGAACACCAGUGGCGAAGGCGACUCUCUGGUCUGUAACUGACGCUGAGGAGCGAAAGCGUGGGGAGCGAACAGGAUUAGAUACCCGCGUAGUCCCUGUCUCUUAUAC